UGGAGAGUUUGAUCCUGGCUCAGAUUGAACGCUGGCGGCAGGCUUAACACAUGCAAGUCGAGCGGGGAARRGUAGCUUGCUACUUUACCUAGCGGCGGACGGGUGAGUAAUGCUUAGGAAUCUGCCUAUUAGUGGGGGACAACAUCUCGAAAGGGAUGCUAAUACCGCAUACGUCCUACGGGAGAAAGCAGGGGACCUUCGGGCCUUGCGCUAAUAGAUGAGCCUAAGUCGGAUUAGCUAGUUGGUGGGGUAAAGGCCUACCAAGGCGACGAUCUGUAGCGGGUCUGAGAGGAUGAUCCGCCACACUGGGACUGAGACACGGCCCAGACUCCUACGGGAGGCAGCAGUGGGGAAUAUUGGACAAUGGGGGGAACCCUGAUCCAGCCAUGCCGCGUGUGUGAAGAAGGCCUUUUGGUUGUAAAGCACUUUAAGCGAGGAGGAGGCUACCGAGAUUAAUACUCUUGGAUAGUGGACGUUACUCGCAGAAUAAGCACCGGCUAACUCUGUGCCAGCAGCCGCGGU
rnacentral:rRNA from 1 species